CAGCCGCCGCGGUAAUACGGAGGGGGCUAGCGUUGUUCGGAAUUACUGGGCGUAAAGCGCACGUAGGCGGCUUGGUAAGUUAGAGGUGAAAGCCUGGAGCUCAACUCCAGAAUUGCCUUUAAGACUGCCGAGCUAGCAGGUGAGAGAGGUAAGUGGAAUUCCGAGUGUAGAGGUGAAAUUCGUAGAUAUUCGGAAGAACACUAGUGGCGAAGGCGGCUUACUGGCUCAUACUGGACGCUGAGGUGCGAAAGCGUGGGGAGCAAACAGGAUUAGAGACCCCAGUAGUCCCUGUAUCUUAUAC
rnacentral:rRNA from 1 species